GUCUAAAGUAACUCUCGUAGAGCUCGUGCAUUUCUCUUCAAGGUAAAAAGCAACAGUUACUAUUAUAAUGCCAUGAAGUAUUUCGCAGUAUUCAAUGGACAUACCACAAAUUUUGCAAAUAUAACAUUCACUUUAUUUCAAUAAUUAAUAGCUCCCCAGUUACAUCUAGUUAUUAUUGAGCCUUCAGUGUAUAAAGUGUACGUCUUAUUUCUUGAUGCAUUUUCCAAAUUAAGGCCCCUUAAUAUUUUAUCAAUAUUUUAGGUUUUGAGCCUAUCGAUUUUACUUUUUAAGGACUAUUUUGAUAAGAGUAAUAUUUGACACGCAUUGCUUCCUUGGGUGCGUAAUUAAAAUAAUUGGUGUUUGUGAUGAUGAUAACUUUCCAAGGAUCGUAUUUAAUAACCGAAGAG